rnacentral:rRNA from 1 species
CACGUAGGGGGCAAGCGUUGUCCGGAUUUAUUGGGCGUAAAGAGCUCGUAGGCGGUUCGCUAAGUCGGGUGUGAAACCUCCAGGCUCAACCUGGAGACGCCACCUGAUACUGGUGUGACUCGAGUCCGGUAGGGGAGCGUGGAAUUCCUGGUGUAGCGGUGAAAUGCGCAGAUAUCAGGAGGAACACCGGUGGCGAAGGCGGGUCUCUGGGCCGUAACUGACACUGAGGCGCGAAAGCGUGGGGAGCGAACAGG